GAGCGUUCCCCUUCGGGGGACAGAGUGACAGGUGGUGCAUGGUUGUCGUCAGCUCGUGUCGUGAGAUGUUGGGUUAAGUCCCGCAACGAGCGCAACCCUUGAUCUUAGUUGCCAGCAUUCAGUUGGGCACUCUAAGGUGACUGCCGGUGACAAACCGGAGGAAGGUGGGGAUGACGUCAAAUCAUCAUGCCCCUUAUGACCUGGGCUACACACGUGCUACAAUGGAUGGUACAAAGGGCUGCAAGACCGCGAGGUCAAGCCAAUCCCAUAAAACCAUUCUCAGUUCGGAUUGUAGGCUGCAACUCGCCUACAUGAAGCUGGAAUCGCUAGUAAUCGCGGAUCAGCAUGCCGCGGUGAAUACGUUCCCGGGUCUUGUACACACCGA
rnacentral:rRNA from 2 species